GGACUAGUAUGACGGCUAAUGAGGACUCAACUGUCUCUUGCAGCCUGCCAAUGAAACUGAUCUCUUAGUUCAAAAGCUAAGAUUUUAACACAAGACGAGAAGACCCUGUGGAGCUUAAAACCAACCCCAAAAUAAUGGCCCUUUGGUUUUCAGUUGGGGCGACUUCGGAGUACAAAACCCCCUCCGACACAAUACCAACCACACCAGAUGGACACUUCUAAACAACUAAGACCCAGUAGUUUACAAACUAUCUGAACAAUGGAGCAAGUUACCCCAGGGAUAACAGCGCCAUCCUCUCUUAGAGUCCCUAUCGACGAGAGGGCUUACGACCUCGAUGUUGGAUCAGGACAACCUAAUAGUGCAACCGCUAUUAAGGGUUCGUUUGUUCAACGAUUAAUAGUCCUACGUGAUCUGAG
rnacentral:rRNA from 1 species